AUUGAACGCUGGCGGCAUGCCUAACACAUGCAAGUCGAACGGGGGUAGUGAUACCCUAGUGGCGGACGGGUGAGGAAUGCGUAGGAAUCGGCCCACGAGUGGGGGACAACCUGGGGAAACUCAGGCUAAUACCGCAUGAGCUCGUAAGAGGAAAGCGGGGGAUCUUCGGACCUCGCGCUGGUGGACGAGCCUACGUCCGAUUAGCUAGUUGGUGGGGUAAAGGCUCACCAAGGCGACGAUCGGUAGCGGGUCUGAGAGGACGGCCCGCCACACUGGGACUGAGACACGGCCCAGACUCCUACGGGAGGCAGCAGUGGGGAAUCUUGGACAAUGGGCGCAAGCCUGAUCCAGCAAUGCCGCGUGGGUGAAGACGGCCUGCGGGUUGUAAAGCCCUUAGGCGGGAGGAACGACGGGACGCGAAUAGCGUUUCGGAGUGACGUUACCGCGGAAUAAGCACCGGCUAACUCCGUGCCAGCAGCCGCGGUAAU
rnacentral:rRNA from 1 species